rnacentral:rRNA from 1 species
GUAGUCCACGCCGUAAACUAUGGAUACUAGGUGUUUGGGACAUUAACCUCCUGAGUACCAAAGCUAACGCAUUAAGUAUCCCGCCUGGGGAGUACGGUCGCAAGGCUAAAACUCAAAGGAAUUGACGGGGGCCCGCACAAGCGGUGGAGUAUGUGGUUUAAUUCGAAGCAACGCGCAGAACCUUACCUACCCUUAACAUCCCGGGAAGUUUGCAGAGAUGUAAACGUCACUUCGGUGACUCGGUGAUAGGUGCUGCAUGGCUGUCGUCAGCUCGUGUCGUAAGAUGUCUGGUUAAGUCCAAUAACGAGCGCAACCCUUGUCCUUAGUUACCAUCAUUAAGUUGGGGACUCUAGGGAGACUGCCGGUGUUAAACCGGA